AGAAGCAAGCAGGGGGUUUUUUGAAAAAAGCCAACGCAAAAAAAAAAACCCAAAAUCCCAUCGCCCUGAACAGUCUCUCUCUUCAUCAGCUUUCGAUUCUUAUCCCAAAAUUCCAUCCCACUGAACAGUCUCUCUCCUCCAUUAAAGCCACCGCCUUCCCCUAUUUCUCUCUUCAUCGUCAAGCCAUCGAAUUCCCUAACUCCGCCCACCGCAAAAGCAGCAUCACAGCCGAUUUCGGCCGAUCUUCCUUCGAGCUCGAGCGCUCUCUCGAGAUCCCCAUUUCUCCUCCUCCAUCAAGCCACCGCCUUCCCCCAACUCAGGUAAGGAUCACCGGUGGUCGAGGUCGAGGAGCCGAAGCGGACGAGCUCAUGGUCGAAGGUGCAGAUCAGUUAAAGAUGCAGUGAAGGCCUAUAUCAAUGUGUGUUGCAUGAAAUUGGUACUGGAGAUCGAACAUACGGUUUAUUGUGUAGCUGAUAAUCUUUGUUAUGUAUUAAUUUGCAUUGGUCAUAGCUUAUUGAUCCUCUGCCUUGUCUCCCAUGAAACUUUUAGUUUGAUGAUGAUUGAUACCAUCA